rnacentral:rRNA from 1 species
GCUGGCGGCAGGCCUAACACAUGCAAGUCGAGCGGUAACGUUUCUAGCUUGCUAGAAGAUGACGAGCGGCGACGGGUGAGUAACGCGUAGAAAUCUACCUAGUAGUGGGGGAUAGCCCAGAGAAAUUUGGAUUAAUACCGCAUACGCCCUACGGGGGAAAGCGGGGGAUCUUCGGACCUCGUGCUAUUAGAUGAGUCUGCGUCGGAUUAGCUUGUUGGUGAGGUAAUGGCUCACCAAGGCGACGAUCCGUAGCUGGUCUGAGAGGAUGACCAGCCACACUGGAACUGAGACACGGUCCAGACUCCUACGGGAGGCAGCAGUGGGGAAUAUUGCACAAUGGGCGCAAGCCUGAUGCAGCCAUGCCGCGUGUGUGAAGAAGGCCUUAGGGUUGUAAAGCACUUUCAGCAGUGAGGAAAGGGGUGUCGUUAAUAGCGCCAUCCUGUGACGUUAACUGCAGAAGAAGGACCGGCUAACUCCGUG